CCCGACAAGCACAAUACUUCUCAUUUCUUUUCAAACUCUGUACGCUUCAGGUUGAAGCAGCAGUCUGUCGGCCAGCCUUGCACUUUUUAUUUAUUAAACUGUCAUGAUAGUGUGUGUAGUAUGGGACUUGUGUGUAAUGUCUUCUCAUUUGACAAUUCAUUGUUUUAUAUAUUUUCACAGAAUUUAUAGGCCCACAGGAGAAUAUUAAUGCUGUCAUUUUUGUAUUUAGUUUUAUAUUUGUCUCAUUGGUGUACACUCUGAGAAAAUUUCUGUAAAAUUAAAUAUCUAGUGAGUGAAUUGUUUGGGCCUUCCUGGAGCCUCCAUUAGGAUGUCCAUCCAUGUACCCGUUAAUGGACUCCUGGGACUUCCUGGACUCUUUGAGAACCACUUCACCACACUGGACAUGAAAUUGUGUUUUUGUCCUCUGCUGAAUGUUUUUUUUUUUGAGCCGACACAGAUGCACAAGCUCGCCACCUAUGGCAGUGCGUUGCCAUGGUUGCCCAUCUCACCUUGGAUGCUGCACCCCAGGUGAUCCCAAAAGGUGCUUGGCUGAAUGGGACAUCAUUGCCAUGGAGAUUGGAGGCGAUGACACACGCGUGCACACACACACACACACACACACACACAUUCGUGGACUCAGAAAUGAGACUGGCUUUCACGAGCGAGCGGCUGCACAGUCUGACUCGAUGAAAAGUUGUCUCUCUAAAGGGAAGACAGCCGCACAGAUUGAGCUGUCACUGGAAGGGAACUCUGCUCUGCUCUUUCAUCCCUCUGUGUGCAAACGGAUGGAUCUCCUUCUCUUUCAUUCUGUCAAAUGUAAACCUUUCCGUUGGGUAAUUCCAAACUAAAGCUCGGGCUCGGCAGACAAGCAGGUGGAGAUAAAUGUACGCCAUUUAAAGAACAUUGACCGAGGCUGAAAACACUCAUCGCUCCCCUCCCCCUGCUUCCUGUUUAAAGCAUGUCAAUGUACAGCGCCAGAGUGAGAGAGGCAUAUCACUGCAGGGCUUUCCCCACCCUCUAACAUUUUAGCGUUCACGCUCCUUCGGUCCUGUGCUUUCUGCCUGUCGGACUUUUGGUGAAACUUUUUCUUCAAGACGUGAAGUCAAGCGGGCUCUCAUGCACACAU